GCAAGAAAAUCAUCAUUAAGCUCUGUGGAGUUUGUUUCUAUUUGCUUACUGACUUUUUAUGGAUACAGCUAAAUAUUUCGUUUGCCAAGCUUUAUCUGAUGUCCAGUUAGACUUCACCCCUGACUGCUGUGAUGCUGCUGUCUCUGAGAAAAUAGAGCCUGAGUCUCAGUUUUGAAUUCCAAAGGAGACAACAGCUUAUAAGGUCUCAGUGAAAGUGAUCACAAGCUGAGCAGAGCUCUGCACAUGAGUUAUGUGUGUGAUAAAUGCUUGUAGGAAAAGGGUCACUUUACCUGUUUCCUGGUAUCCCCAGACUUCUAUGUUGACAUGGGUUGCUGCA